rnacentral:rRNA from 1 species
UUGAACGCUGGCGGCAGGCCUCACACAUGCAAGUCGAGCGGAUGAAGGGAGCUUGCUCCUGGAUUCAGCGGCGGACGGGUGAGUAAUGCCUAGGAAUCUGCCUGGUAGUGGGGGAUAACGUCCGGAAACGGGCGCUAAUACCGCAUACGUCCUGAGGGAGAAAGUGGGGGAUCUUCGGACCUCACGCUAUCAGAUGAGCCUAGGUCGGAUUAGCUAGUUGGUGGGGUAAAGGCCUACCAAGGCGACGAUCCGUAACUGGUCUGAGAGGAUGAUCAGUCACACUGGAACUGAGACACGGUCCAGACUCCUACGGGAGGCAGCAGUGGGGAAUAUUGGACAAUGGGCGAAAGCCUGAUCCAGCCAUGCCGCGUGUGUGAAGAAGGUCUUCGGAUUGUAAAGCACUUUAAGUUGGGAGGAAGGGCAGUAAGUUAAUACCUUGCUGUCUUGACGUUACCAACAGAAUAAGCACCGGCUAACUUCGUG